rnacentral:rRNA from 1 species
UAGGGAGUCUUCCACAAUGGACGAAAGUCUGAUGGAGCAACGCCGCGUGAGUGAAGAAGGGUUUCAGCUCGUAAAACUCUGUUGUUAAAGAAGAACAUAUCUGAGAGUAACUGUUCAGGUAUUGACGGUAUUUAACCAGAAAGCCACGGCUAACUACGUGCCAC